CGCAGGCCCUGCCCGUGGGUCCACAGGCCGGAUCCCCGGGUUCCUAGGCUGGGACUGCUUCUCAGAACCACUCUGUCGUUUUUAAGCAGGGUCACACACUCUAGCUCACUGGGUCCAUUUUAAUUUCUAUUAAACAUUUUUUUUUUUUUGCAAAUGAUGUAGUAGGAGAUCCAAGGUGUUUGGUUAAUGAUUUAUUCACUCAUUAGUCAUUCCACAAACUUGUCUUGAGCACCUGUUAUGUACCCAGCACUGUGCUGGAAUGCUGAGGAGACAGGAGUGAAGUAAAAAGACAUGGUUCCGGCAGGAAACAGGCAAGGAGAGCCUUGACUUGACGGAGUCUGGCUAUAUCGCCAGGCUGGAAUGCAAUGGCGCGAUCUCUCCUCACUGCAACCUCCGCCUCCCGGGUUCAAGCGAUUCUCCUGCCUCAGCACCUCGAGUAGCUGGGACUACAGGCGCGCGCCACCACGCCCAGAUGAGAAAACUGAGGCACAGAGAGGUGAAAUAAGGCCCCCAGAAUGCUCUUCUCCAAGACUUAGAAAAAUCAAAUGCUAUCCAUCCCUCAAGAUACAUCCCUCCAGCCCCUCCUUGAAGUCUCCUGCAGCUAGAAGUAGAAGUAGCAUCUAUCCCCAUCUGGACUCCUUAGCACUUUGCUGUACCUGCCUUAGUCCCCAUCUCUUUACACACACACACACACACACACACACACACACAGAGUAUUAUAAUACUAUUACCUAUUAUAUUACAUUAUAUUAUUGUAGUUCUACAGGAACUACAAGGAAUUCUACUGUGAAUUCCUUAAGGGUGGGAUACAUUUUACAAUCAUCACUGUUUCUCUCAUUAGUUGUGGAAUCAAAAAAAUGAGUGCACGAUGAAAAAUUAUUCAAACACAUACAUGCUUUCAUUCCAAUUGAAAAUGUAAAAAUAUUACUGUUAAAACAAUAUUAAAGGACAUGUAAUACAAUUCAAAUAUUCCUACCAUGCACGAUUGUUUUCACUUCUUUGUGCCUCUUUCACCAUUUAUUUGUGUGCAUACUCAGCAUAUUUGUUUGUGUAACAGGAUGUUAAAAAUAGAAUUUGUUGCCUGUAGUUUUUGCUAAAGCUCUACUAGACUGGAACAGAACAAUAGGUGGUAAAUACUCCAUUCCUCAGUGAGAUGCUACCUACCUAUGCAGAGCUGGAAAAGAUUUUGCAACCUGAAAACCCAAUCCUUUCUGAGAUAUAAAAGAACAGAAGAGUCUGGAAGUGAUUUCUUCGGAGAAAUUCAUUUUCUUAUUCCAGAGAAGAAACUUCAAGCUCAGAAUAUUGGCUACUACCUGUGAUAAACAUUUAAAUUAUUGGAACGAGAGAGUUUUUAUAACUAAAUUUGAAAGAAGCAAUUUUUUUUAUCAAAGACCAACCCGAAGAUUCAUGACCACUACCUGUGAUUUCAUCCAUGUUGCAAGGAAAAUCCUGCCCCACUUCCCCAAUAGGAAGAGUGGUGGGGGAAUAAUAAAGUUGUUUUAUGAUGCAUCCUGUGGACUUCUACUCGACAGAAUGGUAACAUUCAACUGUAAUCAGGAUGAGCAAGCCACUUUAUUAAACUAAAAUUUUAAACUUUAAUAAAUAUAAUACAAACUGAAAAAUAAAAAUAAUUUUUCAACUCUACACAAGUAUGUUAACUGCAUAAACAGUGAGAUGUUACACAGGGCUGAGGCCUAUACUUCUUCAGUUUGUACAUUAAACGUCUCCAUGGAGGGUCAAUUGCAUCCUACCUAUUCUGACAGUUAUCAGGUAGCGAGAGAUUUGAGGAAGAGGCGCUUUUCUAAUCUGGGGUAGGAAAAGGAAUGAUACCAUGUAUCAUGAGAAGUAUUUGCACAUAGUGUGUCAAUUAAGCAAGUGCUCAGACUAUUAACAACAUUACUAUGUGAUGAAUGUUUAUACAGUGGAUUCAAAAAUAAGCUUCUUUCCAGAAAGCAGCUUAGUUUUCAUUAAUUAUUACCAGCAUCUUGGUAAUUAUUUAUUUAAUGGUUUAAAAGUUAAAGUUUCAAUCUAUAUUUGUUUUUUUAACAUCAGCCAAGGAAAUACAUGUCUGUUAUACUGCAUCUUUGGAAGUAUGCAAUAAGUGUAACUAUUGAAUCUAUAUUGAAGAGCCACAAGACACUGAAUUUAAUUGGACGAGACUAUUUUAUUUAGGAAGACAAUCAUCUCCUGUGAUCAGCUUAAGGUUUUUGUUUUGUUUUAUCUGGAACAAGCUAAGUUCAUAUUUAGAAAAUAAAGUUAGUUUUUUGGGUGCAUGAGUUUUAGAGUAAAUUAGUAAUUUAGUAAACUUUGACAUUUCCACUUUGUCUCCAAACACAUUUAAAUUCUAUCUGUCUGACUGAAGUUCUAAGGCAUUCUGUGGUUACUUAGAAAUGAUUCCUUAUAUUAAUGUUUACAAAUGCUAAAUUGUAUUUGUUAAAUACAUGUCUUAUUGCCUAAGAGUUUUCCUUUCUUAUAAGUUUAAUAUAAAUGUCUAGGAAAUAAGACUCCCAUUUAAUAGCUUAUAAAGAAUGCUGAUGUAUCAGCAGUGGCCUUGACAUUAUUGGAUACAAGUAAGAUCUACACUGAUGAUUAAAUCAAAUUGGCUAAGAUUAUUCGUUCUAAUAAAAGCACUGACUCCAUGAAGUUUUCUUGUGGCUGAAAUUAACAUUCGUGUUCCUACAAGCUCUUUAAAAUCUUAGUUACUGAAAAUUAUUCCUUUUGACCUAAUUUUUUCUUUACUUUGGAUGUAUUUGACAAGGUAGAGGUUAGGGAUUGGAGAGUAUGUAAAGAAUGAAAUAAAAUGUAGUCACUUUUAACUAUAUCCACAUAUAUCCACAGGGAGAUGGGGGUUAACACUGAUAAUUAUUCUCAACAUUCUUCUGGGUUUGGAGUUAAUUGAGAAAUACACAUAGCGGUCAGAAACAUAGGGAUCAAAAUAUCAGCAUAGUUUUCCAUAAAGCUGAAUGUGCCUUGGACCUGCAACUCAAACCAAGCUUCUAAGUACCUGUACCCAUGUCUAGAUUUGGAGUUUCUCAUCGGGGUAUUACAGUUGCAAAGGGUGUCACUCGCUGCCUUCCAUCCUUGGAUUCUGAAUAGUAAAAGAGGAAAAGAGGAAAUCACAAUGCAUAGGACUUUUAACAUACUAACUCCACUAGUUCAAGAAAAAUCAACGAAUGGAUGUUAGAUCAAUGCAUGUUAGACUAUCUCCCCCCAUCAUAACACUGAGAUGGGUCAGUGUUAGGGUUGCUAGAUUUAGCAUACACAAAAAUUAUAGGCUGCCAAGUUAAAUUAAGUUUCAGAUAAGCAAUUAGUUUUUUUCUCAGUGUAAGUAUGUUCCACAUGUUGCAUGUGACAUACUUAUACUAAGUAUGAGAUACACCUAACUCCUCCUCCUAUGGGUAGCAGUGAAUUAAGGGAUAUAGAGAUGCCUAAAAUUACACACUAACAGAAGUAUCAUGAAAAAAUGAAGGCAGAGGCAUAGGGUUCCCAUGACAUACUUUGAGGAAUUUUGCGAGUUUAAGUCAUCAAAAUCUUGGAAAGAUAAAGUUAUUUAGAAGACAAUCACACAGUGCUACAAUAUUUAAAAUAGUUGUUCAUUUUACAACCAUUGCUGAUGAAUGACUGCAUACAUUGCUACGGGUACUAUAAAAGAAGUAGAAUUUUUUAAAAAAUUCCUGCCUUUAAUAAAAUAUAUAUUAUUUAAGUAUUAUUAUAUAACAUAAAAUAUUCACUUCUCAGUACAAAACACAAUAAGUAUUGUUAGAUGAAUGGUACCAUAAAUAACGCUGGAAGAAUUCAGAGCAAGGAAUGAUCUUUGUGGGCUGCAUGCCAGUUAAGAAGCAUUAAAAAGUAGAAAUUUGCCCCAUUUUCUAUAAGUCUAGAGAUAGAAUGAGCUUCAAGUACAGGACAGAAAGAAAUGGAUGAUGUCAAAUGGUAACUGAUGAUUUGUUUAUGAGUACAUAUACGAUGUCUACUUGGGAUUUCUAGGGCUAUUUGGAGAGUGAGUAUUUUGCAGGGGCUAAGGAUUCUAGUUAGUGAAGCGGCGAUCUGGUGGAAAAUUAAAGUAUCCAUGAGAAAUGCUGAAAAUAAGAAUUAAUGAGAUCUGGUGGCCUAAGGAGUAGAGUCCAAAAUGGUAAAUCUGUGUAACUGGCAUGGUAUCAACUCUGUUUUAGCUAUUGCUUAAUAGGUUGAAGAGUUGAAGGGUUUUCAAAGUACUUUUUAUUGUGAAAAUUUAAAAACAUGUAUAUUAAGGGUAAUAUGACAAAAAUCUGUAUACCCACCACCCAGAAUUUAAAUGUUUCAGGGUUUUAAAAAAAUUCUUCUCAGAUCAUUAGAAAUAGAGUUGAAGUCCCCUUUGUAUCCAGUCCCAGUCCUAUUCCCCUUUCUCUCUCCAGUGACAACCACUGUCAGAAAACUGGUGAGUUUUCUACUAUCAAAGUUUGUUAUAGAUUUACAACAUAUAGACGUAUCUAUUUUACAGAUGUAUCUGUAAAAUAGCUAACAUUUUGUAUGUUUUAAAAUGUUAUAGAAAAUAUAUCAUAUUUUUAUAUCAUUACAUAGCUUUCUUUUCUAUUUAAAAUUGUAUUUUAAGGAUAUAUAAAGAUUACAAGAUAUAUUUGUUGAAUAAAUAAAUGUUGUUACGUCCCAAAUUAUUUAUCCAACCUACUGAUCAACAUUUAGGUUGUUUCUAACAUUUUAUUAGAAUAAACAUUCUUGUCUAUGUCUUUUGAACAAAUGUGCUAGAAUUUCUCCAGGGUAUAUUCCUGGAAGCGAAAAAAAUACACUUUGUUAUUUUUAACAAAUAUUGCCCAGUUGCUCUGUAAUGCAGUUUUACCAAAUCACCCUCCCACCACAUGUCCCAUUUCCCAGCAUCCUUGCUAACCCUUUAUUACACUCUUUAAACUUGUCAAUCUAAUGAGAAACAUAUGAUAUCUCAGUGCUUUUAGUUUGCAUUUUCAUGAAUACUAAUGAGAGUAAAUAUUUUUUCAUAUGAUUGUUAGACAUUCUUAUUUCCCUUCUAAAAAACUGCCAUUUCAUAUCCUAUUUUUUUCUUUUUCUUAUAUAUUCUGGAUACUGAUCCUAUAUAUUAUGAACCUGUUCUAGUGUAGUUUGUCUUUUUUUUUUUUUGACUUUGCUGCCCACCUUUUCUUUUUUUUUUUUUAUUAUACUUUAAGUUUUAGGGUACAUGUGCACAUUGUGCAGCUUAGUUACAUAUGUGUACAUGUGCCAUGCUGGUGCGCUGCACCCACUAACUCG
rnacentral:lncRNA from 1 species